rnacentral:tRNA from 1 species
GCGGCAUAGCCAAGUGGUAAGGCCAAGGUCUGCAAAACCUUUAUCACCGGUUCAAAUCCGGUUGCCGC